rnacentral:rRNA from 1 species
CCUACGUGUGGCUGCAGUAGGGAAUAUUGCACCAUGGGGGAAACCCUGAUGCAGCGACGCCGCGUGGGUGAAGACGUAUUUCGGUUUGUAAAGCUCUCUCAGCAGGGAAGAAAAUGACGGUCCCUGAUUAAUAAGCCCCGGCUAACUACGUGCCAGCAGCCGCGGUAAUACGUAGGGUGCAAGCGUUACCCGGAUUUACUGGGAUUAAAGGGCGCGUAGACGGCAGCGCAAGUCUGGAGUGAAAUCCCGGGGCUUAACCCCGGAACUGCGUGGGAAACUGUGCAUCUAGAGUACCGGAGAGGUAAGUGGAAUUCUUAGUGUAGGGGUAAAAUGCGUAGAGAUUAGGAGGAAUACCAGUUGCGAAGGCGGCUUACUAGAAUGUAACUGACGUUGAGGCGCGAAAGCGUGGGGAGCAAACAGGAUUAGAUACCCGUGUAGUC